ACCACCAGCGUUUGGUAAUACUGAAGAGAUGUCCGUCCCUCACUAGAAUCUGCUUCGGUUUUCGCGAACAAUCGUUCCCACGAGUUUCGCAUUAAAAUUGUACAAAACGAUUAACGAGAGUCUCCGGCCAAUCAAAUGAAGUAAAUUUUACCGAUAACGUCCCAAGGGUUUUUCUACAUCCGUCGAUGCGCUGGUCAGAACAUUGACACUUAUCUCUCACCCGUCUUUGGUAAGCGAAUUUCUAUCAAGGUUUUUUGUGUUUGCGCUUUCGUUCAGCCCAUGACGGCAUAGUAAAUUCUCGUGUAAAGUCCUCUGUGUGGCGCAAUGUCGGUUGGUGCAAUGAAUACUGCGAG